CUGCUACACACCAGACACUGUUCUAGGCACUACGGAUGUGGCAGUGGACCAGCCAGCAUGGUUCUUGUCCUAUAAAGCAUAGAAUUCAGAAGGAAUGCAAAGAUUAAAAAUAUAAUCAAAAGUGUGAUGAGUGCUAUAACAAGGGAAGCACAAAAUAUGAUGGGAACUUAUUGGAAAAAGAAGUCACAUGCUCUCGAAUGUGAGGGAAACACAUGGGGAUUGAGGAUUUGGCUCAUUUUCAUCCGAUUUUGUCAAGCAAUGACCUUCAUUAUGGAGCAGCAAGAUUUCAAGUUCACUACCUAGUAGGUUAAGCUUAUUUCAGGCAUAGGUGUCUGCAAAUUAAACCAACAAACAAAAAGACACAAUGGGAGCCAAUUCCUGAAAUGGGCUUCAAUCGUCUUGGAAAUCAAAGUCUGGCCUUGGAGAAGAGAAUUGUGCUGAAGUGCUCCAGGAUCUGAGUCUUCUCCUAACUCCUUCCAACGUCAUCAGUUGUCAGUGAAACCCUGGGGAAGCCAGUUGAAAGGAGGUGUUUAGGCUCACAAUCACUUUGCCCCAGGCUGUUCUCCUUGAAGGAAGAAAAGUAUUUCCUCCUUGAGAGACUCAAAACCAGCAGUGAAGGUGAGAGCAACCACAGCCAAUGACUAUUUUCAACAACUUUAAUUUCCAAUAAGAAAACAUUACUGUAAUAAAUGCACCAGAAUAAAUUAUAUGUGCACGGUUCUGGGUAAUAUUAAUAGCCAACUUUUAUUAAACCUCGGGGACACUCUUCCUCUCUCUUUCUUUUUGACUUUACCUACAUCUAACACAAACAACAGUAUUACAAAGCAAGUAUUCUCAUGACCCACCUACUCUAGGGCUUCUUUCCUGAAUUUGUCCCUUUUAAUUGCAAAAGGAAAUUUUCACUUUCUUCUGAACCAUCAUCAAUAGUCUGUAUGUUCCAUCAAACAAAGUAAUACCUCCCCCCAGUUUUUUUUUUGUUUUUUUGUUUUAAAUCUCAAAUCUCACAUAAUUUCACACCACUUCUAGUGAUCUUCCAUUCUAUUUCUUUUUCUUUUUAUAGCAAAACUCCCCCAAAGAAUGAUCCAUAUGCAUUAUCUGCUGCUGGUUCCCUUACAUUCUCUCUUCUCGGCACUCCAGUCAAGUUUUCAGCUUUGCUAUUCUAUAAAUAUUGCUCUUGCUAAGGCCACUAACUUACCAAUUUAGGGAUUAAAUCUUGGCCAUCACUUUACUAAACCUUUUAGCAACCUCUGACCAGGAAGUCAUUCUUUAUCUUCUGGAAUCACUGUCUCAACUUGGUAUCAGAAACACAAGACUCUCCUGGUUCUCCUACACAUUUUCUGCUCCAUCCCAGCAUCUUAGACUUUUGUCCAGAUCUAAACACUGAAGGAUCAUAGGAGUUAGUGUGAAGAUUUCCUCUCUUCUGUCUCCACACUUUAAACUGUCAAAAAAAAAAAAAAAAUGCACAACCUCAAAGUUAAGAGUUAAAUUUUAUUUGGGGCAAAAUGAGGACUUAAGCCCAGGAGGCAGCAUCUCAAGUAACCCUGAGAAAACCACUCCAAGGAGGUGAGGGGGGGAGUUGGGAUAUAUAGGCGUUUUUUGCAACAAAGGGCAGGUAGUAGGAACAAAAGAU
rnacentral:lncRNA from 9 species